GCUUAAGCUUAAUAGCAUCAUUUGCUUUUUGUGCUUAAUACAGUCGACGUCAGAGAUAUGUUGACAUUUUUCGCCUUAUUACAAAGGAGUAAAGUGCAACAGUAACAUAACUUUGACGUGGAUUGUACAAAAAAUAUGAUAUUGUGACUAUCGAUAUGGCGUACCCUAUUAUAACAAGAAUAGGGUGUUAACAGUCUCAUAACAAACAAUGUGUUAAGAAUUUGUUUGCGCUUAGAGGCCUUACGUAAAUCCAUGUUUAUACAACUGGGGUGAUUCAUUAAGCAAAAUAAAAUUUGGUAUCUUUUAACGUCAUAAUAUAUUACGAGUACAUAUAAUGUUUUUGUCAUUAAAUGUAUUGUUAAUGUGUACCUAUUAGGUACAUGUACGCUUACAAACAUAGAAUUAAGUAUUUCUAAAGGCCAGUCCAGACGAGGACAAUUUUCGCCCAAUUUGAUUUAAUUGCCUGAUCAAAUCAGGUGGUGUGGACGCAAAAAUGAAAUUAGCUCGCUUGAUUCAGUUUUAAGAUUUUGACCGAUCAAAUGAAGGACACAAUAAUGCCAGUUUUCAACGCUAUUAUGCGCGUUUAGCGACAUUUUUUUAUAGCGCUCGAAUCUCACCAUAAAUCUAAAAUUGGUGAUUAAAAUGUGUACUUACGUGUGGACGCUACAUGAGUUGACGCCAAUUUUUUUCCUGAUCAAAUCGCUGGAUUUGAUUAUCCCGUCUGGCUGGACUGACCUUAAUUCUGAAUGUCAAGUAUAUCGUACUUAUGUAAAAAUGUGAUAAGAAGGCACAAAGCAUUUUGAAAUAUUUAAUAUGAAAAAUGUGAAUGUUUAAUGAAUUGUAGAGCUUUGAUUAUUUUCCUAAUACAAUUUUUAAA